rnacentral:rRNA from 1 species
UACGGGAGGCAGCAGUGGGGAAUAUUGCACAAUGGGCGCAAGCCUGAUGCAGCCAUGCCGCGUGUAUGAAGAAGGCCUUCGGGUUGUAAAGUACUUUCAGUCGUGAGGAAGGUGUUAAGGUUAAUAACCUUAGCAAUUGACGUUAGCGACAGAAGAAGCACCGGCUAACUCCGUGCCAGCAGCCGCGGUAAUACGGAGGGUGCGAGCGUUAAUCGGAAUUACUGGGCGUAAAGGGCACGCAGGCGGUUAAUUAAGUUGGAUGUGAAAUCCCCGGGCUUAACCUGGGAAUGGCAUUCAAGACUGGUUAGCUAGAGUCUUGUAGAGGGGGUAGAAUUCCAUGUGUAGCGGUGAAAUGCGUAGAGAUGUGGAGGAAUACCGGGUGGCGAAGGCGGCCCCUGGGACAAAGACUGACGCUCAUGUGCGAAAGCGUGGGGAGCAAACGAGGAUUAGAUA